rfam:Aedes aegypti strain Liverpool supercont1.1499 genomic scaffold, whole genome shotgun sequence.
UGCCCAGCAACUCCCAUCCCUACUUCCUCGCGGUACUGGCUGGGGUACGAGUAACCUUAGGGAAGAUCGGGUAACCGUCGUCCGAGUGCCAGAGAAGG